CUACGGGAUGUGCGAGUCCCUAGAAUUGGUCUCCCCUGUCCCCUCACCUACUCCCCCUACUGUUCACCGCCUCCAGAUCCAGAUCCAGAACCAAACUCGCUCGGCACCAGCAGCUGGGGUUCGAGCAGGUGGUGGAGGGCCGCCCGAUAGGUGCAGGGAGAAAAGAAUGGCGGGGAGGAGGAGACCCCCUGACUACCCCUCAGCCAGAGCUCCAGUGUCACACGAAACGUACUCUGUUACAAAGGAGAUGAAGAUGAAGUAAAACAAGCCAACUUCACAUAAAAGUGUGUUGCGCACAGCAUGAUCUCUGAGAGUGUACAGAGGGAAUUUUCUCAAGAAUGGUGAAGGUGAGGGAUUCCCCAGAUGGUGGCUGGAUAAUAUAUUGUGUGUAUCUCAUUCCUUUGCUAUAUUCCAUAUGUCCAUUUUGGUAAGGCAACUAUUUCCAGCCGCCAUUCUCUGUCACUGCUCAGAGUCCAUUGUAAUGGGCGUCUCCUCUUCACUCAUUGGAUGUUCUGUCGAAGAAGAUUGAUGAUUGUAAUGGUGUCAACUACCAUAAAACAUUUAGAAGUUUCCUUUCAACACGUUUGACCACCACACGGCUGUACUUUGUGUUCCUGUAUGAGCAUGCACGAGUUUCUCAAUUCAAACUAAACCAAUCCAAGUUAAAUGAAUCCAAGUUUGCGUUUAAUCUCCACCCAAAGGCCUUUGUUUACCCACAGCAUACACCAUACCCUCUCCACACACCUUAUUAGUAGCUGAAACCAAGACGAUUUGAGUGAUUUGUGGGCUGACGGUUAUAUUUGUGUGUGUGUGUUGUAAAAAACUCUGACUCCACUUUGUCUGCUCUCAGCUCAUACAGCGACUGCUUGGCCCUUGUGUUACCUUAAUUAAGUCCAUGCAUGGGUGCAUGGGUGUGUGUGUGUGUGUGUGUGUGUAGUGUGGUGUUCGGUUCAUAUUUAGACACCCUCAAGCUGAACUUUGA